rnacentral:rRNA from 1 species
GCCAGACUCCUACGGGAGGCAGCAGUGGGGAAUAUUGGGCAAUGGAGGCAACUCUUACCCAGCAAUGCCGCGUGAAUGAAGAAGGUCUUCGGAUUGUAAAGUUCUUUAAUUGGGGACGAAAAAAAUGGCGGUACCCAAGGAAUAAGCCCCGGCUAACUACGUGCCAGCAGCCGCGGUAAUACGUAGGUGGCAAGCGUUAUCCGGAUUUACUGGGUGUAAAGGGCGUGUAGGCGGGACUGCAAGUCAGAUGUGAAAAUUAUGGGCUCAACCCAUAACCUGCAUUUGAAACUGUAGUUCUUGAGUGAUGGAGAGGCAGGCGGAAUUCCGUGUGUAGCGGUGAAAUGCGUAGAUAUACGGAGGAACACCAGUGGCGAAGGCGGCCUGCUGGACAUUAACUGACGCUGAGGCGCGAAAGCGUGGGGAGCAAACAGGAUUAGAUACCCCAGUAAG